rnacentral:rRNA from 1 species
UAGGAUCAAGCGUCUGAAGGGCAUCUGGUGGAUGCCUUGGCACUGAGAGGCGAUGAAGGACGCAGCACGUUGCGAUAAGCCAUGGGGAGCCGCGAGCAGG